UGAUCCUAGGCAGGCCCUUCU
rnacentral:siRNA from 1 species